rnacentral:rRNA from 1 species
GACGAACGCUGGCGACGUGCCUAAUACAUACAAGUAGAACGCUGAAGGAGGAGCUUGCUUCUCUGGAUGAGUUGCGAACGGGUGAGUAACGCGUAGGUAACCUGCCUGGUAGCGGAGGAUAACUAUUGGAAACGAUAGCUAAUACCGCAUAAUAGUAGAUGUUGCAUGACAUUUGCUUAAAAGGUGCAAUUGCAUCACUACCAGAUGGACCUGCGUUGUAUUAGCUAGUUGGUGGGGUAACGGCUCACCAAGGCGACGAUACAUAGCCGACCUGAGAGGGUGAUCGGCCACACUGGGACUGAGACACGGCCCAGACUCCUACGGGAGGCAGCAGUAGGGAAUCUUCGGCAAUGGACGGAAGUCUGACCGAGCAACGCCGCGUGAGUGAAGAAGGUUUUCGGAUCGUAAAGCUCUGUUGUAAGAGAAGAACGAGUGUGAGAGUGGAAAGUUCACACUGUGACGGUAUCUUACCAGAAAGGGACGGCUAACUACGUGCCAGCAGCCGCGGUAAUACGUAGGUCCCGAGCGUUGUCCGGAUUUAUUGGGCGUAAAGCGAGCGCAGGCGGUUAGAUAAGUCUGAAGUUAAAGGCUGUGGCUUAACCAUAGUACGCUUUGGAAACUGCUUAACUUGAGUGCAAGAGGGGAGAGUGGAAUUCCAUGUGUAGCGGUGAAAUGCGUAGAUAUAUGGAGGAACACCGGUGGCGAAAGCGGCUCUCUGGCUUGUAACUGACGCUGAGGCUCGAAAGCGUGGGGAGCAAACAGG